UACGUAGGGUGCAAGCGUUAAUCGGAAUUACUGGGCGUAAAAGCGUGCGCAGGCGGUUCGUUGUGUCGGCGGUGAAAAGCCCCGGGCUUAACCUGGGAAUGGCCGUUGAAACUGGCGAACUGGAGUGUGGCAGAGGGGGGUGGAAUUCCGCGUGUAGCAGUGAAAUGCGUAGAGAUGCGGAGGAACACCGAUGGCGAAAGGCAGCCCCCUGGGCUAACACUGACGCUCAGGCACGAAAGCGUGGGGGAGCAAACAGG
rnacentral:rRNA from 1 species